rnacentral:rRNA from 1 species
UACGGGGGGGGCAAGCGUUGUUCGGAAUUACUGGGCGUAAAGGGCUCGUAGGCGGCCAACUAAGUCAUACGUGAAAUCCCUCGGCUUAACCGGGGAACUGCGUCUGAUACUGGAUGGCUUGAGUUCGGGAGAGGGAUGCGGAAUUCCAGGUGUAGCGGUGAAAUGCGUAGAUAUCUGGAGGAACACCGGUGGCGAAGGCGGCAUCCUGGACCGGUAUUGACGCUGAGGCGCGAAAGCUAGGGGAGCAAAACAGG